rnacentral:rRNA from 1 species
GUGAACGUUACCAAACUGUUGCCUCGGCGGGAUCUCUGCCCCGGGUGCGUCGCAGCCCCGGACCAAGGCGCCCGCCGGAGGACCAACCAAAACUCUUAUUGUAUACCCCCUCGCGGGUUUUUUUAUAAUCUGAGCCUUCUCGGCGCCCCUCGUGGGCGUUUCGAAAAUGAAUCAAAACUUUCAACAACGGAUCUCUUGGUUCUGGCAUCGAUGAAGAACGCAGCGAAAUGCGAUAAGUAAUGUGAAUUGCAGAAUUCAGUGAAUCAUCGAAUCUUUGAACGCACAUUGCGCCCGCCAGUAUUCUGGCGGGCAUGCCUGUCCGAGCGUCAUUUCAACCCUCGAACCCCUCCGGGGGGUCGGCGUUGGGGAUCGGCCCUCCCUCUGCGGGGGCCGUCUCCGAAAUCCAGUGGCGGUCUCGCCGCAGCCUCUCCUGCGCAGUAGUUUGCACACUCGCACCGGGAGCGCGGCGCGUCCACAGCCGUUAAACACCCAACUUUCUGAAAUGUUGACCUCGGAUCAGGUAGGAAUACCCGCUGAACUUAAGCAUAUCAAUAAGCGGAGG